rnacentral:rRNA from 1 species
GAUGAACGCUGGCGGCGUGCCUAAUACAUGCAAGUAGAACGCUGAAGGAGGAGCUUGCUCUUCUGGAUGAGUUGCGAACGGGUGAGUAACGCGUAGGUAACCUGCCUGGUAGCGGGGGAUAACUAUUGGAAACGAUAGCUAAUACCGCAUGACAACAGUUAUUGCAUGAUAACUGUUUAAAAGGGGCAACUGCUCCACUACCAGAUGGACCUGCGUUGUAUUAGCUAGUUGGUGAGGUAACGGCUCACCAAGGCGACGAUACAUAGCCGACCUGAGAGGGUGAUCGGCCACACUGGGACGGAGACACGGCCCAGACUCCUACGGGAGGCAGCAGUAGGGAAUCUUCGGCAAUGGACGGAAGUCUGACCGAGCAACGCCGCGUGAGUGAAGAAGGUUUUCGGAUCGUAAAGCUCUGUUGUAAGAGAAGAACGAGUGUGAGAGUGGAAAGUUCACACUGUGACGGUAUCUUACCAGAAAGAGACGGCUAACUACGUG